rnacentral:tRNA from 1 species
GGUACAGUAGUGUAGCGGUAAACAUCCUGGAAUUUGAAUCCAAUAACUCGAGUUCGAAUCUCGCCCAGACCU